rnacentral:tRNA from 1 species
GCUCCCGUCGUCUAAACGGUCAGGAUAUCCGGCUUUCACCCGGACAACGGCGGGUUCGAUUCCCCCCGGGAGCA